CAUCACCACCAGCCAUGUUGGUGAGCCUCUCUCUGCUUCCAGACUCCAUAGAACAGACACUACUGGCUCUCUGACCACGAUUCAGAGCUUAUCACAGACCGGGUGCAAGGGGCUGACCAUUUGGCACUGGACAACUAAUUGCUGGGCUCUUCUCCAAGGAAGUGCCUCUCCUGCCUUUGGCUCUCCUCGGCUGCUACUGGUUCUCUCGACAGGCUUUGUUUGUGGUGCUCGUUGGUGUCCUCCUGGUUCAGCUCACGUUUGAGCGGUCGUGUUGGGUCACCUAGAACUCACCAUGUAGCCCACAUAGGCCUCAAAAUUGCAGCUUUCCUCCAAUUUCUGCCUUCUCAGUGAUCACAGGUGUGCACCAUUGUGCCCAGGUAUGCACCAAGACUGUUUUCUUCCAAGUCAAACACUUAAUAAUAAGUCAAUUGCUCUCUUUCAUAAAACAACAUUUAA